AUUUACCACUUACCGCUGCUUUUCAGCAGUUUGGCUGUGAUUUGUUUAGGUGCUGCUUUUUCCUUAUUUAUUCUCCUUGUGGGUGCGUUAAGGUUCUUGGUUCUCCUCCCACCCCCAACUCUCCCCUGACACACAACGUGGAUGUGGAACUUCUUGAUUCUAUGAGUUGAGAUCUUCAAUCAAUUUUGGGUUGCAGAAAAGGAAGAAGAAUCAGCAGAGAGCAUUUGUGGCCAGCAAAGCUUAAAAUAUUUCCUAACCGAUCCUUUGCAAAAAAAGUUCACCCACUCCUGUAGUCAGCAGCUCCCCUACUGUGCGCAGUCAGUGUGCCAUCUCAGACUAGCAAAGAUUUGUGCUUGGAUCAUCUACACUUCCCUGAAUGUUGAAGAAGAUAUGCUAUCCAUGCAAUCCUUGUCGACUGCUUGAUUAAAAAGUGGAUAAACUGUCUUCAGGCCCUUGGAGUAUGGUGUCUGUGUGAAGAAGGGAAUGAGGCAGAAGUAGCAGUCAGUGGUGGCUGAAGUAGGAGAAAGUGCUUGCUAAUGAAAUCUUGAUUUUUCUGUGGCUUUUCUGUGCAAUUGGGUGGCUAAGUAGGAAAGCCAUUGGAGCUUCACUGUAUCAAUUCUGCCUUUCUUGUUUUUUGGAACUCCAAUUCACCAAGGCUCCCUGCCACCCUAUCCAUCUAUAACUUUUCAUCACUUUUUCCUCAAAGUAAGAAGUGUGUCCCAGAAAAUGUGCCUUUGUGACUCAGCAACAUUUCAAAUCCAUCUGAGCCUUCCCAGCGUUCCAAAAGAAAUACUGAUUUGAAUUCAGCUGCUUAAAAAACCAGUCUCUAAGCAGACAGCUUGAAACUUCCUUACAGCAAUAGUUUAGGCUUUGGAGGGGAAAUUGGUUUGUUUUUAAUUGUUUUAAUUUUUCAUUCAAUUCAUUUGCCGCCUGAUUAUAUAUGAUCUUUUGAGCCCAAUACUCUGCUAAAUUAACCUUGACUUUCUUUCUCUCUUUCUCUCUCUCUCCUUCUCUCUUUCUUCCUUUCUUUCUUUCUUUUUGACAGAGCCUUGCUCUGUCGCCCAGGCUGGAAUGCAGUGGCACAAUCUCAGCUCACUGUAAACUCCGCCUCCAAAGUUCAAGCAAUUCUCCUGCCUCAGCCUCCUGUGUAGCUGGGAUUACACACGCCAGCCACCAUGCCUGGCUAAUUUUUGUAUUUUUAGUAAAGAUGGAGUUUCACCCUCUUGGCCAAGCUGGUCUCGAACUCCUGACCUCAACCUUGGCCUCUCAAAGUGCUGGGAUUACAAGCAUGAGCCACCAUGCCUGGCCUUACCUUGAUUUUUUUUUUUUGAGACAGAGUCUCACUCUGUUGCUCAGGCUGGAGUGUAGUGGCUCGAUCUUGGCUCACUGCAACCUCCAUCUCCCGGGUUCAAGAGAUUCUCCUGCCUCAGCCUCCCAAGUAGCUGGGACUACAGGUGUGGGCCACCACGCCUAGCUAAUUUUUUAUAUGUUUACUAGAGACAGGGUUUCACCAUGUUGGGCAGGCUGGUCUUGAACUCCUGACCUCAGGUGAUUCACCUGCCUCGGCCUCCCAAAAUGCUGGGAUUACAGGUGUGAGCCACCACACCCGGCCCCUACCUUUGAUUUUUAAGUCAAGAGGGAACAAGUCGAAAUUUCUAUUCAGGUAAACUGUAUACCUUUGGACACUGAAUCACUUUUAGAACCCCAGUAAAAAUCAUGUAUGAAUGACCCACAAUUUCACUCCAACAGGAAGGUGUGUAUAUGUGCACAAAAACAUUAGAUUGUUCACACCGGUGCUAUUCAUAAUAGUCAAAAACUGGAAACAACUCAAACAUCCAUCAACUGUAGAAUGGAUAAAUAAAUCAUGAUAUAUUCAUACCAUGGAACAUAACAGUGACAAUAAAUGAACCACUGCUACACACAACAGAUAUGAAUUUCACAAACAGAAUGCUGAGCAACAGAAGCCAAACACAGAAGGAUACACAUUUAUAAAUCCAUUUGUAUGAAGUUCAUAAACAGACAAAAUUAGUCAGUGGAGAUUAUUCUCAUAGAAGUCUGAAGGGUAGUUGUCUUUAGGGAGGGGGAUAUAGUGACUGAGGUGGGUAUAAGGGGUUUCUGGGGUUUGGUGAUGGUACACCAGCAUAUUCACUCUGAAAACUCAUUGAGCUGUGCAAUAAUGAUUUUUCAAACUUUUAUAUGUGUAUGAUAAUGCUUCAAUAAAGCUUUGCUUAAAAACACGCAUAGUCAUUGCUAUGGUGUGAAUGUUUGUGUGCCCCCGUUCACCAAAUUCAUAGGUUGAAAUCCUAACCCCCAAGGUGAUGAUAUUAGGAGU
rnacentral:lncRNA from 10 species